rnacentral:RNase_P_RNA from 1 species
AGAGUGGAACAGACGAUCGCUCGGGCUUCGGCUCGGGAGGAAAGUCCGGGCUCCGCAGGGCAGGAUGCCGGGUAACGCCCGGUGAGGGUGACCUCGAGGAAAGUGCCACAGAGAAGCAAACCGCCCGGCAUGGUCCGGGUAAGGGUGAAACGGUGGGGUAAGAGCCCACCGCGCGGCCGGUAACGGACGCGGCACGGCAAACCCCAUCCGGAGCAAGGCCACGUACAGGGGCGUUCGAGGGCUGCCCGCCCGAGCCCCGGGGUAGGCCGCACGAGGCCCGCGGCGACGCGGGUCCCAGAGGAAUGAUCGUCGGGCUGCGCGAAGGCGACUUCGCCGGCACACAGAACCCGGCUUACGAGCCACUCGGACC